GAGGGUAUAGUUCAGUGGCAGAGUGUGUGCUUAGCAUGCAGAAGGUCCUGGGUUCAAUCCCCAGUGCCUCCA
rnacentral:tRNA from 1 species